AGCCGGGCCCCAUGCAUCGGGGUGCGAUGAACCGGGUCAGAUCGGAAGAAGCAGCCCUAAGUCGUUCCCCCGAGUGCCGUGGCAAGCCCGGCCCAU
rnacentral:SRP_RNA from 1 species